UACGGGGGGAGCAAGCGUUGUUCGGAUUUACUGGGCGUAAAGGGCGCGUAGGCGGUCAGCACAAGUCAGUUGUGAAAUCUCCGGCUUAACUGGGAGGGUGCGCCGGAAACUGGAGUGCUAGAGGAUGGGAGAGGUAAGCGGAAUUCCUGGUGUAGCGGUGAAAUGCGUAGAUAUCAGGAGGAACACCUGUGGUGUAGACAGCUUACUGGACCAUUCUGACGCUGAGACACGAAAGCGUGGGUAGCAAACAGG
rnacentral:rRNA from 1 species